CAGAGCACAAUACAUUUUUCUGAAACUACAUUCAGCAUUUGUUGUUGUUGUUGUAAUGUAGGACAGUAAAGCACACACACGUUUAGUCAUUAGCUUCAACUCGCUAUUCAUCUGGUAACACAGGAUAAAGGGCAUAUUUAUUAGUAUAAUCCUUACAUCUGUGCUGUUUGAUGGCGACUCCUCAUGUCUUCAAUCCUGAGCAUUUUUUGGAUUCAGAGGGCCAGUUCCGCAGAAGAGAUGCAUUCUUACCGUUCUCAGCAGGUAAACGUGUGUGUUUGGGGGAGCACCACGCCAGAAUGGAGCUGUUCCUGUUUUUUUCAUCUCUCCUCCAACGCUUCACCUUCUCUCCACUUCCGGGAGAAAUGCCCAGCUUAGAGGGCGUGCUGGGCUUCACCUGUUCCCCCAAGGUGUUCAGGAUGCUAGCCGUGCCUCGCUGAUCAAUGAUCUCUGUGAGACAACAAAGACUUAAUAUCUGAAAACUAAUUUGUAAAGUCACUUAAAAAUAAAAAAGAUAGAUAUUUGCAAGUUGAAAGACAAAGGCACCUGGAUUUGCUUAUUGUUUCAAGACCAGACAGUAUGCCUAGUCGCCUUUCUUACACAGAGGUGUUUUCCAUUAUUUUGCCUGUGUAGACCUCUUCUUAAGUCUGCGUGGGUGUCUAACGAUUUUGAUUGUAAACAUUUCCCCGAU